rnacentral:rRNA from 1 species
CCUACGGGGGGCAGCAGUGGGGAAUAUUGCACAAUGGGCGCAAGCCUGAUGCAGCCAUGCCGCGUGUGUGAGGAAGGCCUUCGGGUUGUAAAGCACUUUCAGCGGGGAGGAAGGCGUUAAGGUUAAUAACCUUGGCGAUUGACGUUACCCGCAGAAGAAGCACCGGCUAACUCCGUGCCAGCAGCCGCGGUAAUACGGAGGGUGCAAGCGUUAAUCGGAAUUACUGGGCGUAAAGCGCACGCAGGCGGUCUGUCAAGUCGGAUGUGAAAUCCCCGGGCUCAACCUGGGAACUGCAUUCGAAACUGGCAGGCUAGAGUCUUGUAGAGGGGGGUAGAAUUCCAGGUGUAGCGGUGAAAUGCGUAGAGAUCUGGAGGAAUACCGGUGGCGAAGGCGGCCCCCUGGACAAAGACUGACGCUCAGGUGCGAAAGCGUGGGGAGCAAACAGGAUUAGAUACCCCUGUAGUC